rnacentral:rRNA from 1 species
AUUGAACGCUGGCGGCAGGCCUAACACAUGCAAGUCGAGCGGAUGAAGGGAGCUUGCUCCUGGAUUCAGCGGCGGACGGGUGAGUAAUGCCUAGGAAUCUGCCUGGUAGUGGGGGAUAACGUCCGGAAACGGGCGCUAAUACCGCAUACGUCCUGAGGGAGAAAGUGGGGGAUCUUCGGACCUCACGCUAUCAGAUGAGCCUAGGUCGGAUUAGCUAGUUGGUGGGGUAACGGCCUACCAAGGCGACGAUCCGUAACUGGUCUGAGAGGAUGAUCAGUCACACUGGAACUGAGACACGGUCCAGACUCCUACGGGAGGCAGCAGUGGGGAAUAUUGGACGAUGGGCGAAAGCCUGAUCCAGCCAAGCCGCGUGUGUGAAGAAGGUCUUCGGAUUGUAAAGCACUUUAAGUUGGGAGGAAGGGAAGUAAGUUAAUACCUUGCUGUUUUGACGGUACCAACAGAAUAAGCACCGGCUAACUUCGUG